rnacentral:lncRNA from 1 species
CACUGUACAGGUAACCUGCCUGAAGCAACUCCAAUGCUUUAUAGUAACCACUCGUUUACUUCAGAUAUCCGUGACUGUUCAUCGUCUCUCACGGAGGCUUCUCAACCAAGUUCACAGGCCGCUGUACUGUACAGACCAUCAUCUAUGCCUUUCGAGAGAAGGCAGUAUAUGGAAGCACAAGUGCCUGAUGCCUUGCACAGGUCUGUAGCUGCCCA